ensembl:lncRNA
AACGCCGCGCCGCGUCACGUCCCGCCGCGUCACGUCCCGCGUGGCCGCCCGCCGCACCUCCGCCGGUGGUGAAAACGCUUAAAGAAACUGUGGCAGCUUUGCACGGAAAGGGUCCGCGUCUCGAAACGUGCCGCGGAAACAGAAAUGUCUGAGUGACGCAGUAACCGAGCGGCGCCACCCGCGGUCGGCUGCGUCCGGCGGAGCGACGGAGGGAGCGGACGAAAGCAGAUUUCCAACGGACUGUUCUCAAAGGGAGGGACUGACGGAGGUUUGCUGGGCUGCGCUCGGACCGAUGAUUAAUUAGAACGAGGAACAGCACUCCAGGGGGAAUAGGGGAAAGACCUGUAUGUAAAAGGGGACUGCAAACUACGUAGGCCGUAUGUAAAACCACCGCCACUAAAUUGCCUUUUAGUUUUCAGUAGUUCCAUUGAAGAGUGCCAGCAUAUCCACAUCGCUGCUUUUUAAGUUACCUUCCACGUAAGCACCAGACCUUUGUGCUGCGGUUCACCUGCCAGAUAAAUGGGUUGUGAGCCAGGUGUGAGCACGACCGCACUCGUUUUGAAUCACCCAUGGUGCUGUUUUUAUGCUGCCCUUUGGCUUUUUGCUGGCUGCGGGAAGGCCGGUGAUACCUGAUCUGGGUGAGGUUCUGCAAACCAACCUCCAGAGUGAGCUCUCUCUGUGACUUCUGUGCAAGAGAAGAGGAACUUGCCUCACCUGUGAGCCCACAGGGCCAGUCCUGCUGGAAUAACCACAUGGCUCUGCGAUGUCGCAGUUUCACAGCUCGGUGUCAUUGGUGCUGUUUUUGAGUUACACACAAAGCAUCCUGCUGCUUCCAGGAGAAGCAUUUCCUUCCCCUCUCAUCUGAGACACAGAUGGAAAAGAAGAAGCCGUGUCCUCUUGCAACAAGGCACAGCUGAACACAGGGUGCUGCUGGACCCAACGAAGCGCAGCUGCGGAGCUCUGCAGACCCAGCAGGCUGGAAUGGGGCCAGGAGGUGCUGCCCUCCAUAGAUGCUGUACUUCAUGGAGGUGCUGCCCUGCACAGAGCUCAGCUGGGCUGCAUCAGCCUCAUCCUCUCCUUGGGAUGCCUUCCUCCCCGUGCGCCUUCUUCUGGUCCAGGGGGGAAGCGCCACAUUUGUAUGCAAUGUGCAAGAGCGCCUCAGCAAUUAAAUUGAAUUCUAAUUAUUGUAUAUCACAUAUUAGCAAUUUCUACCAUGCUAAUAUUAAUUGCUAACAAGACGAUAAGGUGUAUCAGGUAAUCAUGACGGAGCAUUGCCUUUGCUUGCCUGGCAGAGAUGUGUG